rnacentral:rRNA from 1 species
GAGUUUGAUUCUGGCUCAGAAUGAACGCUGGCGGCGUGCCUAACACAUGCAAGUCGAACGAGAAAGUUCCUUCGGGAAUGAGUAGAGUGGCGCACGGGUGAGUAACGCGUGGGUAAUCUGCCCUUGGAUUUGGGAUAACUUCGCGAAAGCGGAGCUAAUACCGGAUAGUCUGGCUUUGUAAAAGGAGUCGGUAAAGGAUGCCUCUGCAUAUGCAUUCGUCCGAGGAUGAGCCCGCGCCUCAUUAGCUAGUUGGUAGGGUAACGGCCUACCAAGGCGACGAUGAGUAGCUGGUCUGAGAGGAUGAUCAGCCACACUGGGACUGAAACACGGCCCAGGCUCCUGCGGGAGGCAGCAGUGGGGAAUAUUGCGCAAUGGGCGAAAGCCUGACGCAGCAACGCCGUGUGAGGGAUGAAGGUUUUCGGAUCGUAAACCUCUGUCAGAAGGGAAGAAGUGAUGCGGGUCCAAUAGGCCCGCAUUUUGAC